rnacentral:lncRNA from 10 species
CCCCACACAGUGCCUGGCAAAUGGUAGCAUGACACAAUUCCUUCAAGACUUCCCAGCCUGCAGGAGGGAGUCGCUGGCUAAACCUGGAUACAGGCCGGGAUGCUACAACUUGCUGGUUGCUCAACUCUAGAUGGUCAACUGUCCGUUCCCAGAGCUUUGGUUUCCUCAUGCUGGCAGAUCAUCACUGAUGUCCAUUCCUUCCAGGUGUUUAGUUCGUAGGCCAGUCCUGAGUUGUUGAGUGAGAAAGUAGGAAGAGUACGCAGUGAUAACAUGAGGAGCAGAACAGAAGACUCUUUUGUGUGACCUGGAACCAAAGGUCAUCAUGCUGGGGCAGAGUGUGGAUAGGAGGCAGAAGGGACUACAUUUCAUGAGCACUUGUUAUAUAUAAGAAGUGUUAUUGGCUGGGCGCGGUGGCUCACGCCUAUAAUCCCAACACUUUGGGAGGCCGAGGCAUGAGGAUCACCUGAGGUCGAGAGUUCGAGACCUCGAGACCAGUCUGGCCAACAUGGUGAAACCCUGUCUCUAUUAAAAAUACAAAAAUGAGCUGCGCGUGGUGGUGUAUGCCUGUAAUCCCAGCUACUUGGGAGACUGAGCAGGAGAAUCGCUUGAACCCAGGAGGCAGAGGUUGUGGUGAGCUGAGAACAUACCAUUGCACUCCAACCUGGGCGACAGAGCAAAACUCUGUCAAAAAGAAAAAAAAAAAAAAAAAAGAAGUGUUAUUGAUGUAUAAUAAAAGCUAAUGUCUGCUGUGCCCCUUUCGUAUGCCUGGAGCUAUGCGUGUACUUUCC